AGACAGGAGGGGUAAACAUUUAAAGAAGGAAGUAAAAGAGAUUAUUUACCGGGUUAAAUAAAGGAUAAAUACACUAAUAAAAGAGGAACAUAGAGAAGAGAAGAGAGAGAAGAGAGAGAAGAGAAGAUGAGAAGUGGAGAGAGGAGAAGAGAGAGAGAGGAGAAGAGAGGAGAGGAGAAGAGAGAGGAGAAGAGAGGAGAAGAGAAGAUGAGAAGUGGAGAGAGGAGAAGAGAGAGAGAGGAGAAGAGAGAGAGAGGAGAAGAGAGAGGAGAAGUGGAGGAGAGGAGAAGAGAGGAGAAGAGAGAGAGAGAGGGAGGGAGAAGAGAGAGAGAGGAGAAGAUGAGAAGUAGAGAGAGGAGAAGUGGAGAAGAGGAGAAGAGAGAGAGAGGAGAAGAGAAGAGAAGAGAGGAGAAGAGAAGAGAAGAGAGAGGAGAAGAGAAGAAGUAGAGAGGAGAAGAGAGUGAGAGGAGAAGAGGAGAAGUGGAGAAGAGAAGAGAGAGGAGAAGAGAGGGGAAGUGGAGAGAGGAGAAGAGAGAGAGGAGAAGAGGAGAAGAGAGAGAAGAGGAGAGGAGAAGAGGAGAAGUGGAGAGAGGAGAAGAGAGUGAGAGGAGAAGAGAGGAGAAGAGGAGAAGUGGAGAGAGGAGAAGAGAGAAGAGAAGAGCGGAGAUGAGAAGAGAUGAGAAGAUAGAAGAGGAGAAGAGAGGAGAAUAUAAGAGAAGAGAAGUGGAGAGAGGAGAAGAGAGUGAGACGAGAAGAGAGGAGAAGAGAAUAGAAAGAGAGGAGAACCGAAGAGAGGAGAAGAGGAGAAGUGGAGAGAGGAGAAGAGAAGAGAGGAGAAGAGAGAAGAGCGGAGAUGAGAUGAGAAGAUAGAAGAGGAGAAGAGAGGAGAAUAUAAGAGAAGAGAAGUGGAGAAGUGGAGAGAGGAGAAGAGAAGAGAGGAGAAGAGAGAAGAGCGGAGAUGAGAUGAGAAGAUAGAAGAGGAGAAGAGAGGAGAAUAUAAGAGAAGAGAAGUGGAGAGAGGAUAAGAGAGGAUAAGAGGAGAAGAGAGGAAUCAAUAACAUAGACAACAUCAGUGAAAACAGCAGAAAGUUGUUAGUAGACCAGAGAGUCUAGAAUACUAGCAAUGACAUCACUAAUCAUUAAAUCUCUUUAUCAUUUCAUCACAGCUGUCUGUGAGUGGUUUUCACAGGGCUGGAGCAGGAAGGAGUGGCUAUGUGUUCAGAUGGGCCGAGAGAGUAGAAACUAUUCAAAACAGAGAUACCUGCUCAUGGGGUCAGAGAGGACUAGAUUUAGCGACAAAUGCUGGCUCGAAUACUGCAAUACACUAGUGACAAAGAUAUGGUCCUGUAUAUAUUCCUCAGGGUUAGCGUAUUAUGAUACACUAGUGUAUAUACUGUAGUAUUAGUGCUGAGGUGGAUAUACUGUAGUAUUAGUGUUGAGAUGGAUAUACUGUAGUAUUAGUGCUGAGGUGGAUAUACUGUAGUAUUAGUGCUGAGAUGGAUAUACUGUAGUAUAAGUGUUGAGAUGGAUAUACCGUAGUAUGUAUUAGUGUUGAGGUGGAUAUACUGUAGUAUUAGUGCUGAGGUGGAUAUACUGUAGUAUUAGUGCUGAGGUGGAUAUACUGUAGUAUUAGUGUUGAGAUGGAUAUACUGUAGUAUUGGUGCUGAGAUGGAUAUACUUUAGUAUUAGUGUUGAGAUGGAUAUACUGUAGUAUUAGUGUUGAGAUGGAUAUACUGUAGUAUUAGUGUUGAGAUGGAUAUACUGUAGUAUUAGUGUUGAGAUGGAUAUACUGUAGUAUUAGUGUUGAGAUGGAUAUACUGUAGUAUUAGUGUUGAGAUGGAUAUACUGUAGUAUUAGUGUUGAGAUGGAUAUACUGUAGUAUUAGU